CAAGUCGAACGACAGCACGAUGAAGUUAAGGAGCUUGCUCUUUAACGGAUGGGUGGCGAGUGGCGAACGGGUGAGUAAUGCGUAGGAAUAUACCCUAAAGAGUGGGAUAGCUUAGGGAAACUUAAGGUAAUACCGCAUAAUUUCUGAGGAAAAAAGCUGGGGACCGCAAGGCCUGGCGCUUUAGGUCUAGCUUACGUCCGAUUAGCUAGUUGGUGAGGUAAAGGCUCACCAAGGCGAUGAUCGGUAGCUGGUCUGAGAGGACGAACAGCCACACUGGGACUGAGACACGGCCCAGACUCCUACGGGAGGCAGCAGUGGGGAAUAUUGGACAAUGGGGGGAACCCUGAUCCAGCAAUGCCGCGUGUGUGAAGAAGGCCUGAGGGUUGUAAGGCACUUUUGUUGUGGAAGAGGGUUUACAGGUUAAGAGCUAGUGAACUGGACGGUACAUAACGAAUAAGCACCGGCUAACUCCGUGCCAGCAGCCGCGGUAAUACGGGGGGUGCAAGCGUUAAUCGGAAUUAUUGGGCGUAAAGGGUGCGUAGGUGGUUUAAUAAGUUAGCUGUGAAAUACCCGAGCUUAACUUGGGGGUGUCAGCUAAUACUAUAAGACUAGAGUAUGGGAGAGGGCAGAGGAAUUUCCGGUGUAGCGGUGAAAUGCGUAGAGAUCGGAAGGAACACCGGUGGCGAAGGCGACUGCCUGGCCUAAUACUGACACUGAGGCACGAAAGCGUGGGGAGCAAACAGGAUUGGAUACCCUGGUAGUCCACGCCGUAAACGAUGUCAACUAGCUGUUGGAUACAAUAAAGGUAUAAAGUAGCGAAGCAAACGCGAUAAGUUGACCGCCUGGGGAGUACGGUCGCAAGAUUAAAACUCAAGGAAUUGACGGG
rnacentral:rRNA from 1 species